GAUGAAGAACGUAGCGAAAUGCGAUACGUAAUGUGAAUUGCAGAAUUCAGUGAAUCAUCGAGUCUUUGAACGCACAUUGCGCCCCCUGGUAUUCCGGGGGGCAUGCCUGUCCGAGCGUCAUUGCUGCCCUCAAGCACGGCUUGUGUGUUGGGCCUCCGUCCUCCUCCCGGGGGACGGGCCCGAAAGGCAGCGGCGGCACCGCGUCCGGUCCUCGAGCGUAUGGGGCUUCGUCACCCGCUCUUGUAGGCCCGGCCGGCUCUUGCCGACACAUCAAUCUUUUUUCCAGGUUGACCUCGGAUCAGGUAGGGAUACCCGCUGAACUUAAGCAUAUCAAUAAGCGGAGGA
rnacentral:misc_RNA from 1 species